CAGGGAGACAACAAAAUGUUUGAUAUUAUUUUGUCACCUUAGGUCGAUCGGUAUCUCACGUUCUUAAUUUAUUAAGAAUUUCAAUUCCUAAGUUUUUCUAGGUCACACCCAUUAUUUUCCCUGGGCCAUUAGCUCAGGUGGUUAGAGCGCACCCCUGAUAAGGGUGAGGUCCCUGGUUCAAGUCCAGGAUGGCCCAUAUCUCUAUGUUGGGGGUAUAGCUCAGUUGGUAGAGCGCCUGCUUUGCAAGCAGGAUGUCAGCGGUUCGAGUCCGCUUACCUCCACUGAUUACCACCUCUUCCAUAAUUUGUAGAAAGGGAAUUUUUUGAGUUGUGAUCACAAUUCUGAACGAAUCUAGCUUCCUAAUGAAAUCAUUAAGAUGCUGGACUCAUUGAAUUAAUUUCAUUGUUUUCAGAGAACCUUGACAACUGCAUAGAUUUUUUUUAAACACAAUAAGCAUCUUUUAUGAUGCAGAUUUAUUAUUUAUGCGAAUGCAUUAAUAACAAUUCUAUUAAGCUGAUGCUUCAA
rnacentral:tRNA from 1 species